rnacentral:rRNA from 1 species
GCACCCGCGGUAAUUCCAGCUCCAAUAGCGUAUAUUAAAGUUGUUGCAGUUAAAAAGCUCGUAGUUGGAUUUCUGGGAGGGUGCCGAUGUCCACUUAACGUGUGCGCAGCGGCGCCCUCUCAUCCUUCUGUUAGCGUCUCUUGGCAUUCAUUUGCUGGUGGCGGGCUCAGAUAUUUUACCUUGAGAAAAUUAGAGUGUUUCAGGCAGGCUAGGCCGGAAUACAUUAGCAUGGAAUAAUGGGAUAGGACUACGGUCUCUUUGUUGGUUUGAGGGACUGCAGUAAUGAUUAAUAGGGAUAGUUGGGGGCAUUAGUACUUAACUGUCAG